UGAGUAACACGUAUCCAACCUGCCGUCUACUCUUGGACAGCCUUCUGAAAGGAAGAUUAAUACAAGAUGGCAUCAUGAGUCCGCAUGUUCACAUGAUUAAAGGUAUUCCGGUAGACGAUGGGGAUGCGUUCCAUUAGGCAGUUGGCGGGGUAACGGCCCACCAAGCCGACGAUGGAUAGGGGUUCUGAGAGGAAGGUCCCCCACAUUGGUACUGAGACACGGACCAA
rnacentral:rRNA from 1 species